rnacentral:rRNA from 1 species
AUUGAACGCUGGCGGCAGGCUUAACACAUGCAAGUCGAACGCUUGGCGGACGGGUGAGUAAUGCUUGGGAAUCUUGCUUAUGGAGGGGGAUAACUACUGGAAACUGUAGCUAAUACCGCUUACCAUCGGAUGUGCCCCAGUGUGAUUAGCUAGUUGGUGAGGUAACGGCUCACCAAGCCGACGAUCUCUAGCUGGUCUGAGAGGAUGACCAGACACACUGGGACUGAGACACGGGCCAGACUCCUACGGGAGGCAGCAGUGGGGAAUAUUGCGAAAUGGGGGCAACCCUGACGCAGCCAUGCCGCGUGAAUGAAGAAGGCCUUCGGGUUGUAAAGUACUUUCAGUAGCGAGGCGUUAACCGCAGAAGAAGCACCGGCUAACUCCGUGCCAGCCGCCGCGGUAAUAC